AAUCAACGCUGGCGGCGUGCCUCAGACAUGCAAGUCGAACGCGAAAGUUCCCUUCGGGGAAUAAGUAGAGUGGCGCACGGGUGAGUAACACGUAGGUAAUCUACCUUCGGGUGGGGAAUAACCCAGGGAACUUGGGCUAACACCGCAUGAUGCAGCGGCACCACAUGGUGACAGUUGUUAAAGCGGGGGAUUUUCGGACCUCGCGCCUGAAGAGGAGCCUGCGGCGGAUUAGCUAGUUGGUGAGGUAACGGCUCACCAAGGUGACGAUCCGUAGCGGCCUGAGAGGGCGGUCGGCCACACUGACACUGACAUACGGGUCAGACUCCUACGGGA
rnacentral:rRNA from 1 species